UUGGAGGGCAAGUCUGGUGCCAGCAGCCGCGGUAAUUCCAGCUCCAAUAGCGUAUAUUAAAGUUGUUGCAGUUAAAAAGCUCGUAGUUGAAUUUCGGGAUCAAUACGCCUGUCGUGCCUUCGGUACGUACGGGUGUAAUUGGUCUCUACCUUCUGAGGAUCCUUGAUGUCAUUAAUUUGGUGUCUUGGGGACUCAGGACUGUUACCUUGAAAAAAUUAGAGUGUUUAAAGCAGGCAUACGCUUGAAUACAUUAGCAUGGAAUAAUGAAAUAGGACGUUCGAUUCUAUUUUGUUGGUUUCUAGGAUCGACGUAAUGAUUAAUAGGGAUAGUUGGGGGCAUUAGUAUUCAAUUGUCAGAGGUGAAAUUCUUGGAUUUAUUGAAGACUAACUACUGCGAAAGCAUUUGCCAAGGAUGUUUUCAUUAAUCAAGAACGAAAGUUAGGGGAUCGAAGACGAUCAGAUACCGUCGUAGUCUUAACCAUAAACUAUGCCGACUAGGGAUCGGAUGAUGUUAAUUUUUUAAUGACUCAUUCGGCGCCUUACGGGAAAC
rnacentral:rRNA from 1 species